AGUGUGGCCGUUUCGGGAUUUGGGCGGACAUAUGACUCGCUGCGCAAAACAGAAAAGAAGAAUAAGUGUGUGGCAGUGGCAGCAGUAGUAGUGGUGGGAAGAAGCCUGAAGAAAAACGGCAGUGUGGCAGUCGUAAGGAGGUGGAGAAGAGAAGGAAGGAGAAGACAAGAAGAAGGAAUUUCGUGAAAAACUAGGGAUUUACUACGCGACUCUCUCUUUUUGUUGUUUUUCUUGUUUUGCGCCCGAGUUCUUUCUCGUUUUUAUUGUUCUGUUUCACAAUUUCCCGAAGAAAACCCGAGUAAAAAAACGGUGUUUCGGUCGCUACGCGAGAAAACUGCUGCAAUUUUGCUUUCGAAAAUAAAAAAAGGAAAUAUUCGCGAUUUCUUCUUCCUCGUUGUGCUUUUACAAACCAUACCGUUUAAUUUUAAUUCGCGAAACGCAAGAUUAAGAGUUUUCCCCGUGAGGUACGUGAGCGUGUGUGUUUGUGUGCAUUUCGUGUGUAUGUGUGUGUGAGCGUUUUCCUCCACGCACGCACACACCUAGAGAAACCAACAAAAAGAAAAAUCAUCAUCCGUCAUCACUUGCGCGGAGUUUUUCCGGCUAACUUUGAUGGUCAAUCUGCACGUCGUUAUAAUCAAAACGUAAAUAUUACAAAAAGUAAUUAGAAUUUGCGUGCUACGCGGAAGCAAACAGAAGAAACCAAGAAGAAGAAGGGGAAGAUAAUACAAGCAAAAUAUAAUAUAUUGAAAUCAAAAAA